AAUUAACUCUUUCCUCCCGCCCUGGUUACCUCCCACACACCAGAUCUUUGACAGUCCCCUCCUUAUCUGCUUUUGCUGCCAGGUGGUCUGGCAUUCACUUAUCAUGGCCUCAGAGGACUCUGUGCAGCACGGGGGAUUGGAAAAACAAACCAAAUUCUUCUUCUGAGCCAGGCAGGCAAAGACACUGAGAACGGGAUCAUUUGCCUUUGUUAUUCAUACUGGAACAGAGAAAGAGCCAUAGGAUCUGAAAACCAUGGUCAGUUCAGACACCAAAUAUAUUAAAGCACCCUGGAAAUAAAAGGCAUCCUGUGGAGGAGAGUCCUGCAGGCUCAGUGUCUCUGACCUUGUGUAUUCUGAGCAGGUCAGGCUCUGGUGGGAGCCCAACACAGUUGCUGUACACUCACCAAAAGGAGCAGAUGUACAGCCAGCACUCCAGCAGGAAGCUGCUUCUCCCUGGGAGCCUCCUGCUCCAGGCAGCAGUCGCAGCCACAGCAGCGGGGCCGCUGCCAUCCCCUGCACGCCAACACGCAUCUCGUAGGGCGAGGGGUAAGUGUGCUGCUGUACUGAGCACCUUGCUGGGAGUCGUGUGGGAAAGGGAAAUUGCACAGGGCCCUCACAAAUUGCUGGCCUGACCCAUCUGUGCAAAGGCAGCAGAGGGGAGCUGCUGGGGAUUUCAGAGCAGUUUGCCAUGGGGCCACAUACUCCUCCAACUUCUUUUCUUAAUCGGACCAGGUGACAGUCAAAUUUGUCCAGAUGUAGGUUUG